rnacentral:rRNA from 1 species
GGAAUAUUGCGCAAUGGAGGAAACUCUGACGCAGUGACGCCGCGUAUAGGAUGAAGGUUUUCGGAUUGUAAACUAUUGUCAUUAGGGAAGAUAAAAGACUGUACCUAAAGAGGAAGCACCGGCUAACUAUGUGCCAGCAGCCGCGGUAAUACAUAGGGUGCAAGCGUUAUCCGGAUUUAUUGGGUGUAAAGGGUGCGUAGACGGAGGAGCAAGUUGGUUGUGAAAUCCCUCGGCUUAACUGAGGAACUGCAACCAAAACUACUUCCCUUGAGUGUCGGAGAGGAAAGUGGAAUUCCUAGUGUAGCGGUGAAAUGCGUAGAUAUUAGGAGGAACACCAGUGGCGAAGGCGACUUUCUGGACGAUAACUGACGUUGAGGCACGAAAGUGUGGGGAGCAAACA